UGUUCCCAUACAAUCACUGAAGUUAAGCAACAUCAAGUCUGGUCAGUACCUAGAUGGGUGACCACUUGGGAAUACCAGGUGCUGUAA